rnacentral:rRNA from 2 species
UACCUGUGUGACUGCGUACCUUUUGUAUAAUGGGUCAGCGACUUAUAUUCUGUAGCAAGGUUAACCGAAUAGGGGAGCCGGAGGGAAACCGAGUCUUAAUUGGGCGUUAAGUUGCAGGGUAUAGACCCGAAACCCGGUGAUCUAGCCAUGGGCAGGUUGAAGGUUGGGUAACACUAACUGGAGGACCGAACCGACUAAUGUUGAAAAAUUAGCGGAUGACCUGUGGCUGGGGGUGAAAGGCCAAUCAAACCGGGAGAUAGCUGGUUCUCCCCGAAAGCUAUUUAGGUAGCGCCUCGUGAAUUCAUCUCCGGGGGUAGAGCACUGUUUCGGCUAGGGGGCCAUCCCGGCUUACCAACCCGAUGCAAACUGCGAAUACCGGAGAAUGUUAUCACGGGAGACACACGGCGGGUGCUAACGUCCGUCGUGAAGAGGGAAACAACCCAGACCGCCAGCUAAGGUCCCAAAGUCAUGGUUAAGUGGGAAACGAUGUGGGAAGGCCCAGACAGCCAGGAUGUUGGCUUAGAAGCAGCCAUCAUUUAAAGAAAGCGUAAUAGCUCACUGGUCGAGUCGGCCUGCGCGGAAGAUGUAACGGGGCUAAACCAUG